rnacentral:rRNA from 1 species
UAACGAAUCUUCCGCAAUGGGCGCAAGCCUGACGGAGCAAUACCGCGUGUAGGAUGAAGCGUCUCUGACGUGUAAACUACUGUCAGGGGGCAGAAACAAUGAUUGACCCCAAAGGAAGUGGCGACUAACUCUGUGCCAGCAGUCGCGGUAAUACAGAGGCCACGAGCGUUAGUCGGAAUCACUGGGCUUAAAGGGUGCGUAGGUGGGUCCGCAAGCGUCCUGUGAAAUACCUCAGCUCAACUGGGGAACAGCAGGGCGAACUGCGGGUCUUGAGGCAGGUAGGGGCUGGAAGAACGGUCGGUGGAGCGGUGAAAUGCGUAGAGAUCGACCGGAAUGCCGAUGGGGAAGCCGUCAGCUGGGCCUGUCCUGACACUGAGGCACGAAAGCGUGGGGAGCAAACAGGAUUAGAUACCCACGUAGUCCCUGAGCGGGCUGGCAAGGCGCAU